rnacentral:rRNA from 2 species
CUGGCCGUAAACGAUGGGUACUAGGUGUGGGGGGUUCGACCCCCUCCGUGCCGCAGUUAACGCAUUAAGUACCCCGCCUGGGGAGUACGGCCGCAAGGUUGAAACUCAAAGGAAUUGACGGGGGCCCGCACAAGCGGUGGAGCAUGUGGUUUAAUUCGAUGCAACGCGAGGAACCUUACCAGGGCUUGACAUGCUGGUGGUAGGAGCCCGAAAGGGUAACGACCUCUGGUUUACCAGAGGAGCCAGUACAGGUGC